AAAUCGAUUGAGUCCUGCCAUUUUCGAGCGUUUGUCGAGCGUUUUGAUCGAAUGUCAAAGGCGACAUUUGCAGUUCUUGUUUAUAAUAGUAGGCGUCGUAAUUUGAUGACAGUUCAAUUUGUUCAAGCCCAUUUUUUCACUUGUGAAAAUUCAUAUUUUUUUAGUAAAAUUAGUGAAAUUUCUGCUGAUUAGUGGGUGGCUACAGUGUGAUUAAACAUUUUUUAAAGGGCAAUGAAGUUUUGCCAGCAGAAGGAAUUCACGGUGCUUGGAAAAUAUGGUCAAGAUGUGUGAUUUGACGCAGAACCGCACAACCCAAGUGGCCAUCAACGAGAAACAAAGAACCAUCAGCCGGUACACUGGGCUUUGAUUUCUAUUUCACGUUUUCCACCAAGAAACCAGUGUCGAUUCAAGUGUCUUGUUAUUAUAAAUAAUCAGAGAGAGUUCAAUAAAAAUAAAACGCUUUUAAAUAAAUAAA